AAUAAAAAUUAUUAAUUUUACUAGACAAAACUUAAUAAAAUUGAUUUACUAUAUGUUGACAUAUUUUUCAGUGUCUAUUUUCAUGUAAAGGUAAUAUAGAUGUCCAAAAUUAAAGGUAACGUUAAGUGGUUUAAUGAAUCAAAAGGAUUCGGUUUCAUUACUCCGGAAGAUGGUAGUAAAGAUGUUUUUGUACAUUUUUCUGCUAUCCAAAGCAAUGGUUUCAAAACUCUAUCCGAAGGACAACGUGUUGAGUUUGAAAUUACUGACGGUGCAAAAGGUCCAUCUGCUGCUAACGUUAUCAGUUUGUAAUAACUUAACAGUCAGAAUAAUAAAAAACCCGCAUCUGCGGGUUUUUUAUUA
rnacentral:other from 1 species